rnacentral:rRNA from 1 species
GGAGUCUGGGCCGUGUCUCAGUCCCAAUGUGGCCGUUCAACCUCUCAGUCCGGCUACUGAUCGUCGACUUGGUGGGCCGUUACCUCACCAACUAUCUAAUCAGACGCGAGCCCAUCUUUCAGCGAUAAAUCUUUGGUCAUCAGAUGAUGCCGUCCGAUGACUUUAUGCGGUAUUAGCAGUCGUUUCCAACUGUUGUCCCCCUCUGAAAGGCAGGUUGCUCACGUGUUACUCACCCGUCCGCCACUAAGUAUGAAAAGCAAGCUCUCCAUACCCCGUUCGACUUGCAUGUGUUAGGCGCGCCGCCAGCGUUCGUCCUCGAGCCAGGAUCAAACUACU